rnacentral:misc_RNA from 1 species
GUGAAUCAUCGAAUUUUUGAACGCAAAUUGCACUCCCUGGUAUUCCGGGGAGUAUGCCUGUUUGAGGGUCAGCCUAUAAAAAAUCGACAUCGUUGCUGUUUCGCGGUGGCGUUCGUCGGAAAUUGGGUCAUCUUAAAUCCUUUUGGUUUUUAAGCGACUUAAAAUUUUCUUUACGAUUCCACGAACGUUUCUAAGAUUUACUUACACGUUUAAGGUAUCGAUCUUUAUUAGACGUGGCCGUUGCAUCGGAUCGCGUCCAUAAAUAUUUCGUUAACUGACCUCAUACAGGUAAGAACACCC